rnacentral:lncRNA from 1 species
CUCUCUAUCUAUCUCUCUCUCUCUCUCUCUCUCUCUCUCUCUCUCUCUCUAAUCGCCGGAAACUUGAGAUAACGGUGGCGAUAACAUAAUGAAGAGGAAGAGAAGUAGAUCGAGUGAUGAUUGACCGAAUUUCUUGAACCAUGAUUCAACGGGAGCAAAGAUGGUGGGGGUAGCGUGAGAGUUUUUGUUGGUGGUGAAUAUGUGGAACGGUGGAAAGGUUUAUUUCAAACUCACUCUCACUUCCGAU